rnacentral:rRNA from 1 species
CAGUAGCCGCGGGAAUACAGAGGGUGCGAGCGUUAAUCGGAUUUACUGGGCGUAAAGCGUGCGUAGGCGGCUAAUUGAGUCGGAUGUGAAAUCCCCGAGCUUAACUUGGGAAUUGCAUUCGAUACUGGUUAGCUAGAGUGUGGGAGAGGAUGGUAGAAUUCCAGGUGUAUCGGUGAAAUGCGUAGAGAUCUGGAGGAAUACCGAUGGCGAAGGCAGCCAUCUGGCCUAACACUGACGCUGAGGUACGAAAGCAUGGGGAGCAAACAGGAUUAGAUACCCCGGUAGUCCCUGUCUCUUAUAA